UACGUAGGCAGCAAGCGUUGUUCGGAAUUACUGGGCGUAAAGAGUGUGUAGGCGGUGCUCUAAGUUCGGUGUGAAAUCUCCCGGCUUAACUGGGAGGGUGCGGCGGAAACUGGAGUGCUUGAGCGCGGGAGAGGAAAGCGGAAUUCCUGGUGUAGCGGUGAAAUGCGUAGAUAUCAGGAGGAACACCUGUGGUGUAGACGGCUUUCUGGACCGUAGCUGACGCUGAGACACGAAAGCGUGGGUAGCAAACAGG
rnacentral:rRNA from 1 species